GAACGGGCGUCUGACAGAGGCUGAAACCCCCCUCUGUAAAACAAUGGCUUCCUCCAACACUCCCAAACCCCACAAAUCUCCCAAGGCCAAGAAAGGAGAAAUCUCCACAACCCAAAAUAAAACGAAGGAGAAGACUCGAGACAUCACCAAAGAGGAAAACCAAAAGAAGAAGAAUAAGAAGCCCAAGCUCAGCAACGGCAAUUCAAAACACCCACACCAAAAGGGCGCAGAAAGAAGCGGUGAAGAUGAGAAAGCCAACGUUUUUCCCAUGAAUCGUAUCAGGACCAUGAUCAAGGGCGAAGAUCCUGAUAUGCGUGUUUCGCAGGAAGCGGUGUUAGCCAUCAACAAAGCUGUGGAGAAGUUUCUUGAGCAAUUCACGCAGGACGCUUAUGCUUGUUGUGUCCAGGACCGCAAGAAAUGUCUGAGUUACAAGCACGUUGCAAAUGUUGUUAGUAAGAAGAGGAGAUACGACUUUCUUUCCGAUUUUGUUCCUGAGAAAGUGAAAGCUGAGGAUGCAUUAAGAGAGAGAGAUGCAUCAGGCAAUGGAGUCUUUCAGAAAAUCUAAAGCGAGCUAGUGGAGAAUCUAAACUAGUACAUUAUAGAAUCAUGUCACAUUUUGUAAUUGAAACAUGCUUCAGGAUGAUGACCAGGCAUGCUUAAUGCUCGAGUCUGCUUUGGUAGCAUGAUGCAAAUUUGCCUUUACCACUGGAUGGAAUCACAGUAUAUUGUUAAUAACAGCAGAACGCUAGCAAACCUGUUAUUAAA